CACUAAAUCCACACACAUUUCUCACACAUUUUACUAAUUUUCACUAAAUCCACACACAUUUCUCACACAUUUUACUAAUUUUCACUAAAUCCACACACAUUUCUCACACAUUUUACUAAUUUUCACUAAAUCCACACACAUUUCUCACACAUUUCACUCAUUUUCACUAAAUCCACACAUUUCUAUCAGUUCUUUUUUCAGCAUGUCUCUUCCAGGUUAUUUUUCAGGGCCGGAGCUGGUGGACUGGUUGGACUGGCUGGAGGAGCAUCACCCCGGUUUCCCCAGACCAGUUUAUGCCCGCCUGCACGGUGAGGGACGUCCUUCAUCCGAGGCUUACGUGUUCCUCAGUCCGGAUUUUCCUCUGCAUGGAGAAGAUGGAUUUGCUCAGUUCAUCUCCCUUCCAGAAGUCGGUAAGUUCCUUAUUAUCAGUUCUUUAGUCUCUCUCUCAAAUACAUAAUCAUGGAUAAAUCAGAUCUAUAUACACAUAAAAUCUGCACAUAUGUUACAGCUGUUUGAAUAGUAAAUGAGUGUAGAUGGUUUUGAGCAGCACUAAUGAGUUUUUUUUUUCUAUUUAUUUGCUCAUCUGCAGGUCUGUACUACCCCUUUUACUUCCCCACCCAGUGUGACAGCAGAGCCGAGUACUGGAAGUGGUUCCUGUACAGCCUGGUUGCUCACCUGAU
rnacentral:lncRNA from 1 species